GUGAUUUUAUAUAGAUGUAUUUACAUAAAAUGACAAGCCAACAACCAUAUAACUAUAGAAACUUGGGUAAAAAGUUGUACUGAGAUUGGCAAUUGUGCUGCAUGAAUUGAUCCAGUAUAACCACUGCAAACAUUAUGUCAAUCUGAAACUGAUCACAGUGUGUACAAGACGACAUUGAACUCAAGCUGUUUGCUAUAUUACAUUGAACCUUAGGUUGAUAUUACGAACUUAGUUGCGAGACAGUUGACUAUGAAUUUCAUGCAUGGAAAUUAGUUAAAUGAAAAAAAAUAUAUAUGUGUGUGAAGCAAGGUUGCCUUUCCUUGAAUAGGUGCCAAGUUUUUUCUGCCAAGAAUUACAAUGACCAAGCUCAAGAUCUUCUCUCCAACUUCUUUUCACUAGAUCUUUUUUCUUCUGCCUCUCGCCGUUUCUGCUGCCUGCAACGUAAGUGUUUAAUGAUAUUAAAAUUAAUAAUUUCUUUAACUGAAAUCCAAAUAAUUUAAAUAAUACAUCACCAUCCAACUUAGCAAUUCUAAAUUUUCCAAACAUCUCACAUAUCUAUAAGGGAUCAAGAUACAUCAAAACAUAUGUCACUAACAAAUCUCCAUAUUGAAGAGAUACCCUAAGAGAUUAACAGGCAAGCAAAGCAAUCAUUUUAAAUCUUUUCUUAUACAUAGUACCAAUUAAAUGGAUCCCGUUCACAAAACUUCAUUGGAAUUAUAAUGUAAUAGAACCACUAACUUAUCCAGAACACAUUAAGGGUUUCCAGUGCAAAAGGCUUCCCACAUUAUGGGCACUGGGAAGAGUUAGAUAUCAAGAAUAAAUUGAAGGAAAAAAAUUUUCAAACAACUCAAGGAGAGAAUGAUGCAUGUAAUAGCCCAAUAUACAUACAUGUCCAAAGCAAUGGAAUCAAGAGGGGAGCUAAAGAUUCAUAGAAAGGUGAUAAAUAAUAAUUAAUACAAGAAAACUUACACAAAAGCUGUGUAUCCAGCACCAACAUUAGCAGCAGAUAAAAGUGCUGCAUGGGCUGCCACUGUGGUUAAAGAAUCCUGUCCACCAGUUGGUAGAAGAUUUUUUCCAUCACCGUCGACCUGAAACAAAUAGAAAGUUCAGAAUGGUGAUUCAACCAAUACCAAAAGUAUCUAAAUGCUUGCUAUGUUUGGGAAGAGAGAAAAAUAAAAGAAAAAUAAAUGGGGGAAAAUAAGAAGAGAAAAUUAUUUUACUUUCUUUGGGAAACAAAAGUAAGGGCAAGGAAAGUGAGUGGAAAAAUAAUAAAAGAUUUCCCUUAGGGUCCACAGAAAGUACUGUCUACAAAUUUGGAGUAAAAGAAAAAUCUAUAAAUUAUUUUGAGAGAUUAAAAGAAAAAUCUAUAAAUAAACUUGUUAUGCUUCAUUGGUGAAUUGUCCUACAGAAUAUCAAGGUUAAAGCUGUAGUUUUAAAAAACUUUCCCUCUCAGUUUCUUUGUAUUGUAUGAAGAGAAAGUAAACCUUAUCCCAUUUUGACUUCUUGUUCUGUCUACCAUCCCGAACAACUGCAUCAGCUGUGGUUGAUGCAGAAUGCAACCCACUAGGAGCAGCAACUGGAAUAGGCAGGCUAAACUUUGGUGGGGCCGCAACCUGAGCAGGCUGAGUUCCUCCAGAAAUAAAUUCAACCUUAGGACUCUUCUUCAGCUCUUGUUCCUUCCUCUCCUUUUCACGUCUCAUAUCAGCUUCUGCUUUGCAAAAAUAAAUGUCAAUGGCAAUAAAUUACAUUUGAAAAAAAAUGCAACAAGUAGACAGCAUCAUAGAUGACUUUGAAAAAAAACCAGCAAUUGCUGUGUAAAGAGAAGAUUUUUAUCCUAUGGACCAACCCCUGUUACUUCAACUUUUUGCUUUACGCCAAAGUACUUGUGUUGGACACAUAUUAGAAACCUACAAUUAAUGAGAUAAUUGAGUUUGAGUACAAAACUCAAAAUAUGAGAAGAAAGGUAUGAAAAAGUUAAAUGAACCCAAACCAGGUAGGACAUAAGUUUGACCAAGCAAAAUAUAUCCAAGUAAUAUCAAAGCCAAGCAAAAAUCUAUAAAGCAUGUGAUUAACAGCUGGGAAUUUUUUUUAAGGCUUCGUAACAUAUGCAUUCUGGAAAAAGUCAGGCAACAUGAACUAAUUUCACUUCUAUAAUCACAACGUCAAAGAAAAAAUUUUAUGAUUCCCGAUGUCGACACAGCCCUACUAUCAGAAUUAGCAAAAACUGCAAGAUGAUAAGACCACUUUGGUAGUUUGUUCCGUUUUCAGGUAACUUUCAUAACUAUCCAGAAUUAGAAAGUAACAUAGCAAAAGAAAAAUUCUAGAGUCUAGACUACUUCCAUUACUCUUGACCACAAAACACAGCUCAUUUCAGUUAACUGUAAAAACUUUGACCAAAUCACAAAAUCAAACUUACUAAAACCCACAUUAGCUAAAACGAGUUACACACCCUACAGUUACAUCUUUAAAAUAAACGGAGGGAAAAUUGCAUGAGGAACUGUUGUUAACCUAUUUCAUCAUAGAAGUCGCUUUUGUCAUAUCCAUGAGGGUCAAAUACAUCUUUACUGAAGCAAGACCCAAUCUGAUCAAUAUCUUGAUACCUAACUGCAUGCAGCAAGAAGUCAGGGUUCCGAUAAUCCUUUCUAUUGCGGACUUCUGCAUUGAAGCUUCUGCCAACCUUCUUCAAAGCAAGAAAUUUAUCUAUUUUCCUUUGCAGUUCCUCUGGACACAUCUCUUUGGGUGGUGGGGGAAGAAAUUUAUCCAAUGAAUCAACAUCUUCUGCAGGAACAUUAGCAGCGCCUUCAUUUUCUGCAGCUUCUGAUUGAAUAACAACAUUAUUCAUUUCAUCAGGUUGUGAUGUUUCUAAAAGUUCUGAUGAUUGAGGAGUUGCUUGAGCACUAGGGGUUAAAACCUGAACAGUUCCUGCAGGCGUUAUUUCUUGGCUAGCACCAGUAGCUAUUUGAAGCUCAUCACCAAAUUCCCCUUCAUCGGGUUCAGGAGACAUAGCAACUUCAUCGUGAGCAUAGUCCACAAUGGUAAGCCUCCCUCUUCCGCUUCUCUUCACCUCCAAAUUAACCACCCGUUGCUGCUGCUGCUGCAGCGACGAUAAGAACGAAACUUGAGGCUGCUGCGGCGUCAAAGGCCGCAACAAACCGUCCUUAGGUGUCGAAUUCUGAUUGAGAGGAGGCGGCGAAGCAUCAUUAAGCAAUUCAUCAGUAACCAUUGCAUUAUUCAGUGAAUCAGGUCCCGCCUCGUUUGAUUCUCUAUAGUCGUUCUGAUCUUCCAGCUGCUCGUCUUCUUGUUUUUGCUGAUGUUCUUCGUGUUGCUGUUCAUCAAGAUCUUCCAUAUCUUCAUCGUCUUCAUCGUUGUACAUUGAGAGUAAAGCGAUUCCUUCUGACUGUUUCUUCCUCGACGCCAUGAAAUUGGAAAUUUAGGGCUAGGGUUUCCGAUUUCAAGGGCCCAGAAUCAAAAUUUGGUGAAUUAUAGGAUUAGGCGUCGUCUUCGAUAUGUUGAUUGGUGUAUCAAAUUUGGGGGUUUUUCCAUAGAGAUUUUUGAACGGAGAAAACAGAAGCUGCUAAUGGUUCGGUUGGGUUAAGAAUACGGAUUCGGGUCCCAAAACUUAACUGAAUU
rnacentral:misc_RNA from 1 species